AUUGAACGCUGGCGGCAUGCUUUACACAUGCAAGUCGAACGGUAACAGGGUGCUUGCACCGCUGACGAGUGGCGAACGGGUGAGUAAUGCAUCGGAAUGUACCGUGUAAUGGGGGAUAGCUCGGCGAAAGCCGGAUUAAUACCGCAUACGCCCUGAGGGGGAAAGUGGGGGACCGAAAGGCCUCACGUUAUACGAGCAGCCGAUGUCUGAUUAGCUAGUUGGUGAGGUAAAGGCUCACCAAGGCGUCGAUCAGUAGCGGGUCUGAGAGGAUGAUCCGCCACACUGGGACUGAGACACGGCCCAGACUCCUACGGGAGGCAGCAGUGGGGAAUUUUGGACAAAGGGCGCAAGCCUGAUCCAGCCAUGCCGCGUGUCUGAAGAAGGCCUUCGGGUUGUAAAGGACUUUUGUCCGGGAGCAAAUCCUAGUGGUUAAUACCUACUGGGGCUGAGAGUACCGGAAGAAUAAGCACCGGCUAACUACGUG
rnacentral:rRNA from 1 species